rnacentral:lncRNA from 1 species
GUCGUGCCCGCUGAAGCUAGGGCGGUUUGGUUGGUCCCCGACUUCCACUGGGCGGCUGGAGGGAUGAGUUGGUCCAGAGAUGCUCGUGGCGGAGUGAGUGCCCACUGGACCGUGUUGGUGACCUCCUUUUGGACCUGCCUGCCAAUUUCGGCCUUUGAGCGGCCGUUUUCAAGAAAUUAAUUUUAAAAAUGUAAUUGACGCAUUAAAGGAAGGAAAAAGAAGAGGCCCAGGAGACUCAUGAUGUAAUGUUUAGAAAAGAACAGGAGAAAAUGUCUGGAGAGAAAAAGAGCCAAUCCUAGGCCUGUGUGUGGAAACAGCUAGAGAGAUGGAUCCCUCCAGUACAUAGUUGUAUAUUUUAGUGGUGGGUCCUUCUAGUUGUGGCAUGUGGGAUGCUGCCUCAGCGUGGCCUGAUGAGCGGUGCCGUGUCUGUGCCCAGGAUCUGACUGGUGAAACUCUGGGCUGCCGAAGCGGAGCAUGCAGACUUAACCACUCAGCCACGGGGCCGGCCCCAGUUUGUGUAUUUUAAUGAUUUACCAUUAAAAGGACCAGUUUACAAGAAGAAAAUUAACACCAGCACAGAUGGAUUAAUUUUACCCCUUAAAUAGGGUUUUUUUUUUGCCAUAUGGAUAAUCAUGCACAAACAGCAUCUUUUUCUUCAGUCUGUAAUAGUUCUACCAAAAGGGAAGUCUUAACAGGAACAAUAUGUAUUAAUAAAGAACACAAACACAGAAUUACUAAAUAUUUUGAUUUACAUUCUUGGCUCCACAUUGCUGCAUUGGGAGAGCAUUUAUUAUCUGAGACUAUCCCUCUGUUCUGAGGGAAUAAGAAAUAGUAUACCUAAGGAUGGCUCUCUUUGUAGCCAGGAAAAGGUAGAUUACCAUUCUAG